rnacentral:rRNA from 1 species
UCGAGAAUCAUUCACAAUGGGGGAAACCCUGAUGGUGCGACGCCGCGUGCGGGAAGAAGGUCUUCGGAUUGUAAACCGCUGUCAUGAGGGAGCAAGCCUUGUCGGUGAAUAGCCUGCAAGGUUGAUAGUACCUCAAGAGGAAGAGACGGCUAACUCUGUGCCAGCAGCCGCGGUAAUACAGAGGUCUCAAGCGUUGUUCGGAAUCACUGGGCGUAAAGGGAGCGUAGGCUGUCGUGUAAGUCAGGUGUGAAAUACCAGUGCUCAACACUGGAACGGCACCUGAUACUGCAUGACUGGAGCAACAGAGGGGAAACCGGAAUUCUCGGUGUAGCAGUGAAAUGCGUAGAUAUCGAGAAGAACACUCGUGGCGAAGGCGGGUUUCUGGAUGUAUGCUGACGCUGAGGCUCGAAGGCUAGGGUAGCGAAAG